rnacentral:rRNA from 1 species
GAUGAACGCUGGCGGCGUGCCUAAUACGUGCAAGUCGAGCGAACGGACGAGAAGCUUUCUUCUCUGAUGUUAGCGGCGGACGGGUGAGUAACACGUGGAUAACCUACCUAUAAGACUGGGAUAACUUCGGGAAACCGGAGCUAAUACCGGAUAAUAUUUUGAACCGCAUGGUUCAAAAGUGAAAGACGGUCUUGCUGUCACUUAUAGAUGGAUCCGCGCUGCAUUAGCUAGUUGGUAAGGUAACGGCUUACCAAGGCAACGAUGCAUAGCCGACCUGAGAGGGUGAUCGGCCACACUGGAACUGAGACACGGUCCAGACUCCUACGGGAGGCAGCAGUAGGGAAUAUUCCGCAAUGGGCGAAAGCCUGACGGAGCAACGCCGCGUGUGUGAUGAAGGUCUUCGGGUCGUAAAGCUCUGUUAUUAGGGAAGAACAUCUGUGGAAGUAACUGUGCACAUCUUGACGGUACCUAAAGAGAAAGCCACGGCUAACUACGUG